rnacentral:lncRNA from 1 species
UCUUUAUAUAGAGGGGGCUGCCAUAGGCCGUUAGGCCGUUAAGAGAGUUUGUUAGACUGUUAAGAGAGUUUGUUACAACAAAAUGACCAACCAUAUGGAGAUUGUGGGUUGUUUGCCCAUGUGGAGAUUAGUUAUAAAGUAGCUGGGAGAUAGCUACUACUGAACUGGAGGCUAGCUGCGAGAUAACUGUCUGUGCUUCUAAAGUUACAUCAGUGUUGAAUCGAUGUGCCUUACCAC